rnacentral:lncRNA from 1 species
UGAUUUAUUACAAUUUUUAGUUUGGAUUCUCUGAACUGUUAUAAUUAAGUAUUAAUGUAUCUCUAAUGUAAAAAUGAUGUAUCAAUGAUGUAAUCGAUGAUGCGAUACUAAUUAAGAUGACACGUUUAUUUUCAUAUCAACGACAUAUCAAUAUUUAGUUAGCUAAAUUAAAUUAUAGAACUUAAUUGUAAUAAUACUUUAUAAAGUUUGAGAAAAAAAUUGUAAAAAAAAGUUUGAGGACUAAAGUG